rnacentral:rRNA from 1 species
AUCAAUAAGCGGAGGAAAGAAACUAACUAGGAUUCCCUUAGUAACGGCGAGUGAACCGGGAUGAGCUCAAAUUUGAAAUCUGGCGUCUUUCAGGCGUCCGAGUUGUAAUCUAUAGAGGCGUUUUCCGCGCCGGACCGCGUCCAAGUCUCUUGGAAUAGAGUAUCAAAGAGGGUGACAAUCCCGUACUUGACGCGACAACCGGUGCUCUGUGAUACGUUCUCAAUGAGUCGAGUUGUUUGGGAAUGCAGCUCUAAAUGGGUGGUAAAUUCCAUCUAAGGCUAAAUAUUGGCGAGAGACCGAUAGCGAACAAGUACCGUGAGGGAAAGAUGAAAAGCACUUUGGAAAGAGAGUUAAACAGCACGUGAAAUUGUUAAAAGGGAAACGAUUGAAGUCAGUCGUGUGGGAAGUAUUCAGCCGUCUCUGGCGGUGUAUUUGCUUCUCACGGGUCAACAUCAGUUUGAUCCGGUAGAAAAAGGCGGGAAGAAGGUGGCACCCUCGGGUGUGUUAUAGCUUCCUGUCAUAUGUGCCGGACCAGACUGAGGAACGCAGCUUGCAGCAAUGCCGGGGUUCGCCCACGUACAAGCUUAGGAUGUUGACAUAAUGGCUUUAAACGACCCGUCUUGAAACCCAG